rnacentral:rRNA from 1 species
CCUACGGGGUGCUGCAGUGGGGAAUAUUGGACAAUGGGGGCAACCCUGAUCCAGCCAUGCCGCGUGUGUGAAGAAGGCCCUCGGGUUGUAAAGCACUUUCAGUGAGGAAGAACGCCUGGUGGUUAAUACCCAUCAGGAAAGACAUCACUCACAGAAGAAGCACCGGCUAACUCCGUGCCAGCAGCCGCGGUAAUACGGAGGGUGCGAGCGUUAAUCGGAAUUACUGGGCGUAAAGCGCGCGUAGGUGGCUUGAUAAGCCGGUUGUGAAAGCCCCGGGAUCAACCUGGGAACGGCAUCCGGAACUGUCAAGCUAGAGUGCAGGAGAGGAAGGUAGAAUUCCCGGUGUAGCGGUGAAAUGCGUAGAGAUCGGGAGGAAUACCAGUGGCGAAGGCGGCCUUCUGGACUGACACUGACACUGAGGUGCGAAAGCGUGGGUAGCAAACAGGAUUAGAUACCCGAGUAGUC